GACAGAGGAUGCAAGCGUUAUCCGGAAUGAUUGGGCGUAAAGCGUCUGUAGGUGGCUUUUCAAGUCCGCCGUCAAAUCCCAGGGCUCAACCCUGGACAGGCGGUGAAAACUACCAAGCUGGAGUACGGUAGGGGCAGAGGGAAUUUCCGGUGGAGCGGUGAAAUGCAUUGAGAUCGGAAGGAACACCAGUGGCGAAAGCGGCUUCCUGGUCCGACACCGACGUUCAGGCACGAAAGCGUGGGGAGCAAACAGG
rnacentral:rRNA from 1 species